UGCGUCGCGAUGAGGACCGAGGAUCCUGAGCCCCCCAACCCCAGCCCCAAACUAUAGCCACUAGGGAACUCGUCUGGGCCAAGACCAAGUGCCGCCACCACUGGUGGCCCACGCACCUCCAUGCCCCCUCCAUCAACGGGCACCUCUGCCACCAGCCGGCGCAUGACCUUCGGCCCCUGCUGCUCUCCCCGCCAGCGCACGACCGAUGGCCGAAGAGCGUCCCUCGCCCCGGCUCCCUGCCCACCUCGACGAGCCGACGCACAUCCAUGACCGGCUGGAGCUUGCGCCGCCAGCCACGUCCACGCCCAUGACCUCCUGCUUGACGCCCUACUCUUCUGUUGGAGGAGGUCCUUGCCGUCGGCCUGCAUCUCAUGGUCAAGCCACCCUCCGCAUGCCUCCUUCCCCUCGGCUAGCUCUGGCCGCCUGCCGUCUCUGACCUUGCCGCCUCCCGUUGGUCCCUUGCACAAAACAUGAUAGCAGUCUCUUCCCGGAGAGUUCAUCUCCCUCCAGCUCCUUCCUAGGGUUCGCCGGAUCUGGCUGUCUCUCUUUUCUCCCACUCUCUCUCUAUCAGGAUUUCACUACCUGAGUCUCUCUCUCUCUGUUUGCAGGCACCCAUGGAGGCGAUGACACGUGGACUACUCGGGUGGUGGCCGCCAAGGACAAGGCCAAGGAGGAUGGCGACCCGAAGUUCGUCGGGGACCUCAUCGUCUUAGACAAGGCACGCCAGUAGGUUACAGAUUUGUGCCGCUGGCCCCAACAAGGCACAUUGCACUACUCGGGUAAGUGCGUUCAAGAAGGUUGUGAGGGUGUUCGCGGAAAAGCCGAUGAAUAAUGUAGUCACUCCAGUGUUGGAAAUGAUGAGGAUUAGUAGGUGAAGACGAGGUACUGCUAUGGUUAUCGUAAAGAUCCUCCUCCAUGCCUCAUGGGAAGCAACAUCAUGAUUGCUCUUGCAAAAUCGAUGAUGAUGCUAUGAAUGGUGUGAUUGUUCUGAUCACCUACUUCAACAACGGCUCGGGCGUAUGUGCCUCAAACUCUUAGCGUGGACUCACUAUUUAUGUUUGUUCUCCUAGGGUUCGUAGAUUGCGAAACAUGGCAAGUAACAUGAAUAGAUGUCGAUGAUGCCUACUUGCUUGCCAGCUACAGUGAUGCAUGGACCGGUGAAGCAAGCACACAUGCAAGGCUAGCCCCAUGUAUCUUCCUUGGGUGCAAACAUCAUCUACAAGUAUGAAAAAUUAUGCAUACCCAGGUCAAACUUGCGAUCAUGGUGAAGGUGCUGAUCUAGGUUUCCUAUCUUCAGAAGUGAAAUGUUUGCUUGCUACCUUCUUUUGGACGUUGUCCUUCAUUCAUGUUUCGUCGUGAGAUCUAGGACGAAGAAGUUGGGAGAAUCAUAAAGUUCUAGCUCAUUGGAGCUAGUUAUACUUGUAUGGCUAGUUAUUUUUUUUGGAUUUUUUAGUUGUGUUACCUGAUGUGAACUAGUUCUGAUUGUAAACCUCAUGUGAUCUUAGAACUAUUAUUGCUCUAAUCUGGUGGGAGUUGUGGAAGCAUAGGAAUGCUAUUGUUUUUGAAGGGGCGCGCCCUUGCUUGGAGUAUCUACUAGGGCGAGUGAGGCAUGAGGGCCAACUGUGGGCAUCGGCCGGGCUAAUGAAAGGGAAUGUAACUCCCUUCUUUACUAGAGUGGAGAGGUGGGAGAUGAGUGAGGAGUAAUAUGUAACAAAACCGUGUAAUUGUGGUGGAGGCUUUCUAUGCCUUUCUUCUUUAAUAUAUGAUAUGCACACUCAUGCAUAUUCGAAAAAAAUAAA